CGCUGGGACGCACGUGCUCGUCGUCGUCGCCAGCCGCCACCACCGAGCUCGCGAUCGACCGCCUCCAUCAAAAGUUGUUAAUCGCUUUUCUCGCGCGCGUGUGUAUAUGUGUGUGUCUGUCAGUCGCCCGACGCAAGCACAAAAAUGCGUCCGCAGCCGCAGCCGGAGCAGCAGCAGCAGCGGAGCGCACAUAUUAUCGUUUUUGCGUUACGACAAAAUAAUACCGCUCCGUACAGCCGUAGCCAGUAGUAGAGUCUGAGCCUUGGAGCACGCGAUAUAUAUUUAUUAUUAUAUAUAUUUUUGAUUAAGCUCGAGCGCGCGAGUAACCUACUUAUUAUUUGUACAUAUGUAGCAGCAGAGGUGCGAGUGACAUUUUUCGGAAAAACAAAAGUGCGUGUAGUGUGUUGUAUCCCUCGUAUCGUUCUCUUCUUCUUCUUUUUUCGUGAAUAUAAUUAUAGCCGAGUGGUGUGCGAUCGAAGUGAAAACAAAGCCGCCCGACUAUGGAACUAGAGUCGGGCUUGCCAAAACCGUGGAUGCAGUCGGGUGGAGGAUCUGCUGGUGGCGGUGGCCAUCAGCCGACGAGCGGCGGUGGCGGCCAAGCAGCUAACACCACCACCGGCGGCGGCGGCACGGGCGACGAUGAAGCCCCUAAAGAUCCGGGGGCUCGAAUCACUCAUCAGUCCUACACAGAGAGCGACUUUGAAGGUCACCGAGCGCACACGGUCUUCGUGGGUGUUCAUCUUCCGGGCGAGCGACGACACCGUCGACACCACAAGCAUCACCACUCCCGGGGCAGCAACGGUUCCGCCGGCAAAGAGGAGCCCGACAUCGACAGACCCAGACAAUUACUGAUGGCACGCAGGGGUCGACUCGCUAGUAUCUGCGAUUCCGACGGCGAGUUGAUAUUCACACCACCUGCACAAAGGGUGCAAUUCAUUCUGGGAGAAGAAGUUGGCGACGAUGCCCACGAGUCACAUCCACUUUUCUCCGAGAUGGAGGAACUCUGCCGGGAUGGCGACGAGUUGGAGUGGAAAGAAACGGCCAGAUGGAUCAAGUUUGAGGAGGACGUGGAAGAAGGUGGAAAUCGAUGGAGCAAACCUCACGUAGCAACGCUAUCUUUGCACUCGCUUUUCGAAUUGAGAAGUCUACUACUCAACGGAACAGUCAUACUCGAUAUGGAGGCCAGUGGCUUGGAACAAAUAACGGAUCUAGUUCUCGACAACAUGGUCAGCAAAAAUGACUUGUCGAUCGACGUGAAGGAUCAAGUGCGCGAAAUUCUCUUGGUCAGACAUCGACAUCAAUUUGAAAGAAAAAAAGAGCACAACAUGUCAAGAUUGCCGAUAAUACGAUCUCUCGCUGAAAUCGGGCGCAAUCAUUCGUCAUCGAAAAAUUGUGGUUUCGCAUGUGGUAUACAAUCCUUGUUGACAACAGAUUUCCAGGAGCGACAAACAAAUAACGGUGACGCUUAUAUGCCAGCCGUCCCUCGGAGUACUAGCUGUCCCAAUUCGAAUACAGCUUUGCUAUCCAAAGAGGCGAAAGAUCUUAAAGGCCCUUACCUAUUGGUUCCAGUGGAAGAGUCGAACUCAGCACCAGCUAUAGCUGCUACUGCGGCAGGUCAGGGUGGUGGUGCUGCACUUAAUUCCAGCGGACGCUUUCUAACCAUACCUGGUCAAGAGCCGACGCAAACAGGUAUGGAUAGAAGUCCUAGUUCAGUUUCUAUCAGCCGAAACCAUAGUGCCAAUGCUUUGGAAAAUGGUGAUGCAAACCAUAAAGGCAAUGUUCAUUUCAUGCGUAAAAUUCCACCAGGAGCAGAAGCUAGUAAUAUUUUAGUCGGUGAAGUAGAAUUUCUCGACAAAUCUAUAUCAGCGUUUAUCCGUCUCAGCCAAGCGAAUAUAAUGGGUGAUUUAACGGAAGUUCCAGUACCGACGAGAUUCAUAUUUAUACUAUUAGGACCUAUGGGUGGAAUAGCAAGUUUUCACGAAAUUGGCCGUGCAAUGGCCACCCUCAUGUCUGAUGAGGUCUUCCACGAAGUAGCGUACAAAGCAAAAAAUAAAACUCAUUUGUUAUCAGGAAUCGACGAGUUCCUCGACGCUGUUACCGUUUUACCGCCAGGAGAAUGGGAUCCUACCAUAAGGAUAGAGCCACCUGCUGCUAUACCUUCUCAAGAAAUAAGAAAAAGGCCAAAGGAUGAAAAAAUUAAAGAAGAGGUAGACGAAGAAGCAGAUGAACAAAAACUUCGAGAAGAAUCAGGAUUAUCUAGAACCGGUAAAUUAUUUGGCGGUCUUGUCAACGACAUAAAACGGAAAAAGCCGUUCUAUCUAUCUGAUUUUAAAGACGCAUGCUCUCUUCAAUGCAUUGCAUCGUUCAUUUUUCUUUACUUCGCCUGUCUUUCUCCAAUAAUAACAUUUGGAGGCCUCCUUAGUGAGGCAACUGGUAAAAAUAUGGCUGCCAUGGAAUCUCUAGUUUCUGGUUUUGUUUGUGGAGAAGGAUAUGCAUUAUUCUCGGGUCAACCAUUGACUAUAUUAGGAUCUACGGGUCCUGUUUUAGUAUUUGAAUCGAUAGUCUACGAAUUCUGCCAAAAAUGCGGUUGGCACUAUAUGUCAUUCCGAUUUUGGAUUGGAACAUGGAUGGCUGUCAUUUUAAUUGUCCUUGUAGCAGUAGAUGCAAGUGCAUUAGUCUGUUUCAUUACAAGAUUUACCGAAGAAAAUUUUGCCACAUUGAUAGCAUUUAUUUUUAUUUAUAAAGCUAUCGAAAACGUUAUGUCAAUUCGUAAGAAAUUUCCUGUUAGUACCGGUCAAAAUCUUGGUAAUUCCUCUUGUUUCUGUGGACCUCCCGGCACAUCGUUAAACAGCAGUUAUUCGACAACGAACAAUCAAUAUUCAAAUAUCAAUUGGGCAUCUUUAGAUAAAUACGCAUGUCAGGCUGCAAAUGGCACAGUGAUUGGAGAAAAUUGUUUUUCACCACCUCCCGUACCUGAUGUGUUCCUAAUGUCAAUUAUUCUCUUCGCGGGUACAUUUUUAAUUUCAAUUCACUUAAAAGAUUUCAAAAAUGCUCUUUUCUUCCCCGCAAAGGUUAGACAAAUUAUUAGUGAUUUUGCUGUUAUCAUUGCUAUCUUUUCAAUGACGGCUCUCGAUGCUUCCGUUGGUAUCAACACACCCAAAUUGGAAGUACCUUCUGAGUUCAAGCCUACUCUUGACGGACGUGGAUGGAUAAUAAUGCCGUUCAAUCAUAAUCCAUGGUGGAGUGCUGUUGUAGCAGUUUUACCAGCGUUGUUGGGGACUAUUUUAGUUUUUAUGGAUCAACAGAUUACUGCAGUUAUUGUGAAUAGAAAAGAAAAUAAAUUAAAAAAGGGUUGUGGUUAUCACUUGGAUUUGUUCGUAUUGGCUCUACUCAUUCAGCUAUGUUCCUUCAUGGGAUUACCGUGGUUCGUAGCAGCCACAGUACUUUCGAUUAACCACGUGAAUUCUUUGAAGUUGGAAUCUGAAUGUGCGGCUCCUGGAGAAAAACCGCAGUUCUUGGGAGUUAGAGAACAGAGAGUCACAGCCAUUUUAAUAUUUUUAAUGAUUGGUUGUUCUGUGCUGCUGACUCCCAUGUUGAAGCACAUACCGAUGCCUGUACUAUUCGGUGUGUUCCUAUACAUGGGAGUCGCGUCUUUGAAAGGAUUACAAUUUUUCGAUAGGAUACUCAUUAUAUUCAUGCCUCAAAAAUACCAACCAGAUUACAUGUUCCUUCGGCAGGUACCAAUUAGGAAAGUUCAUUUGUUUACUGCAAUUCAACUUGCCUGCCUCAUCUGCCUUUGGACCAUCAAAUCAUUCAGUGUAACCUCGAUAUUUUUCCCAUUAAUGCUGGUAGUCAUGAUUGGAAUAAGAAAAUCAUUGGAUUUAAUUUUCACGCAACGAGAUCUAAAAAUUUUAGACGAUGUGAUGCCGGAAUACCACAAAAAGCACGCCGACGACCUUCGCCAAUUGGAAAAUGGCGAGGAACACAACGAAUCGCUUGGAUUUGCUUCUGCCGGUAACCUGCAGAUUCCUUUGGUCAAUGGAAAUAUAAUGAAAAUACCGCUUACGAGCAUUAACAUCAGUGAAGAAGUAAAUAAAACAGGAAUUUGGCAACAAGUGAAUGAGGAAAAUGACAAGUCCAAGCAACCAAAGAUGAACAAUGUAGGUAAGCAGAAGAAGCAUUCGAAAAAAGACGCAGCCCUUGCGUCCGAUGAGACUACAAGACUUACCACAAUGACAGAAGAAGAAGAAGAGGACGGUGGAAUAUCGAUCAAGGUGAAAAACGUUAGCAACUCUAAAUUUUAAGAAUCACCAUCACUACUUAUAACAACAACUACUACUACAACUACAACAACCAAGAUUAUUUACAAUAACACGGCAAGAGCACCAUACACCGGCAUGCGACUAAACCCUAUGUUAUUUAACACGGCUGUUGAUUUAAUACGAUCAAAAGAUACUAGUCCUCACAAGGUAAAUGGUACCACUUCCGCCGAGACUUCCGUCUAAUUCGUAGCAAGCAU
rnacentral:misc_RNA from 1 species